UGGCCGCGGGAAUGCCUACGGGAGGCAGCAGUAAGGAAUGAUGUGGUGCAAUGGAGGAAACUCUGAACCAGCCAUCCCGCGUGGAAGGAUGGAAGGGGCUCUGCCUUGUAAACUUCUUUUGAAUGGGACGAAAAAAGGGGAUUUAUGCCUCGACUGACGGUACCAUUAGAAUAAGCACCGGCUAACUCCGUGCCAGCAGCCGCGGUAAUACGGAGGGUGCAAGCGUUAUCCGGAAUCACUGGGUUUAAAGGGUGCGGUAGGCGGCUAAAUAAGUCAGUGGUGAAAGGCCGUGGCUUAACCAUGGGAUUGCCAUUGAUACUGUAGUAGCUUGAAUGAGGAUGAGGUUGGCGGAAUGUGGCAUGUAGCGGUGAAAUGCUUAGAUAUGCCAUGGAACAUCGAUUGCGAAGGCAGCUGACUGGACCUGAAUUGACGCUGAGGCACGAAAGCGUGGGUAGCGAACAGGAUUAGAUACCCUGGUAGUCCACGCCCUAAACGAUGCUUACUCGUUGUUUGAUCGCAAGAUUGAGUGACUAAGGGAAACCGAUAAGUAAGCCACCUGGGGAGUACGACCGCAAGGUUGAAACUCAAAGGAAUUGACGGAAUCACUA
rnacentral:rRNA from 1 species